CCAGCAUCGGGCGCAGCGUGCGCAUCCCCUCCGCCGUCUGCCGGAUGCGCGCGGCGGCCUCCUCCGCGGUCAGCUCCGGCUCGAAGAACCGCUCCCGCACGUACGACUUGGUGCCCCACCGCGGCACGGUCCCCGGCGACGUCGGCGCCGGCACGAACGCCGCCUCCGCGGCCAUCGCGGGCGGGGGCGCCGCGGGACGGCGCGCGUACAGCGCGGCCGUGGCCGCCAGCGCCGUGGACGCGGCCACCGCCAGCCGCCGCGUCGCGGACUGCGGCGGCGGCGCCUGCUGAUGCGGCUGAUUGUCCGAGCCACCCGCGGUGGCGUUGGGAGGCAGGGGCCGGCGGCGGCGCGGCGAGGGGGAUGACGAGGUGGAGGAGCAGAGGAUGAGGUGCUUGGCGAGCGUGGCCAUGGCGGAGCUGAGUGGACUGGUGCAAGUCACGGUGUGAUUAG
rnacentral:lncRNA from 1 species